UUGUGUCGGCGGUGCCAAGUACACCACGAGAGGCUGUAGAGCGGCCACUCCGGCACUCCCGCCUCUUUUGCCUCCCCAGCAUCACCCUCGCCUUCAUACAACAAAAUGUCUUCCGAUUCUGAAGAAGAAAAUAAUGCAAGACGUGAGGCAGAUGAUAGAGAUGACAGUGAUAGUGGCAGGUAUGAUCGUAGGUCAAGGACCAGAUCUCGUUCUCGGUCAGUUGAUGGGAGUCAUCAUUCUGAUGAUGGGAAUAGAGACAGCAGACUUCAUGGCUCUGAUGAGGAUCAAUCACCUGACAGGAAGGAAAAUGGCAUGAGAGGAGAUUCUGAUAAUGAGAAAUCUGAUAAUCGGCGUGAGUACAGUCGAUCAAGGAGUCCAGAAAACAAAGAUAUGGUUGAAUGGCGUGGGGAUGCUGAUGAAAAACGCUCCUCACGUAGUCGAAGUAAGAGUAAGCCGAGAGAUCAAGAUUCUGGCAAGGACCAAAAAUCAAGCUCCUCUGUAGCAAAGAAGAAGUCUCGAUCAAGGAGAUCACGUUCUCGUUCCCGAAGUAAGCGUCGUUCUCGUUCACGGACUAGACGGUCACACUCAAGAAGCAGGAAGAGAUCUCGAUCUAGAUCGCGUUCUCGAGGAUCCAGGUCACGAAGGAGGUCAAGAUCUCGUUCUAGAAGGCGUUCAAGAUCAAGGUCAAGGAGUGGGACACCAGUAGAUGGUGCUCGGCUGCACGUUGCAGAACUAGAUGUUGACACACGUAAACGUGACUUGGAGAGAGUGUUUGAGAAGUAUGGUCGUCUACGGGAAAUUUGGAUGGCACGUAAUCCUCCGUGUUUCGCAUUUGUUGUUUAUGCUCACCAGAAAGAUGCAGAUCGGGCUCUUAAGGAGACAGAUGGCAUAAUGAUUGGUCACUGCCGAAUCAAGGUUACACAGGCAAGACCCCGUGUACGUGGAGGUCGGAUGAGGGGAGGUUAUGACCCAAAUUUGCGUUGUUACCAGUGUGGAGAGCUGGGACAUUUCUCUCGGAAUUGCACCGACACCAAGUUUGGCUACAAACGACCUCCAACCCCUCCAGGGAUGUGUUAUGGUUUGGUAUUGUGGUCAUGUGGUUGGGUUAUUGGUGCGGUGGGGAGAGGCGCCUCCAGAGUGCCUUGAGAAGCGUGAUGAUGGCACAACUGCGGUGGCACGGCCGCGCUAACUCCACACUUCUAGGAUGACCUUCAGGCCAGAUAGCAGAAGGAAGAAUGCUUAUUUGGAGUAACAGCCCGGACAAGAUUCUCCAGAGCCCAUCGAGGAAGGCCUCGCCACAGAUCACGAUCCAGGUCACGGUCUCGUCACCGUAGCCGUUCUCGUUCCUGA
rnacentral:misc_RNA from 1 species